CCCACCUCAGAGGAGGCUGCCAGACUCCCAAAUGACGCCGGCCUCUUUUUCUAAGUAACGCUCUUGAGAAGCCCAUGAAACCAAAAGUGCUGUGAGUCCAAAAGACCAUAUUUUCAGAACCAAAUAUUAGAACCUGAGGUCCAUCAAAGUGACUCUGGAACUAGACUCUGGGUGACCAGAACAUAAAUCCCACUGAAAUCGAUAGAGAUCUGCACAUGAAAAACGAGUUCCACUGGCAGACAACACAGUCAAGCCGUCCGGGCUGGGCGCACACGUUCGCCCUGUCGCUUGCUGGAGUGGGGCCACCACCGCAGGCCGCGGCCUUCCUCUUGAUUUCUUUGUCCUGCCGUCUCAGGGCAGGUCACCCAGGGGAGGAAGCUGCACCCUAGUCAGCCGCAGCAGCUGGCCCCAGCGCCCC
rnacentral:lncRNA from 1 species